rnacentral:rRNA from 1 species
AGUGAACGCUGGCGGUAGGCCUAACACAUGCAAGUCGAACGGCAGCACAGUAAGAGCUUGCUCUUACGGGUGGCGAGUGGCGGACGGGUGAGGAAUACAUCGGAAUCUACUUUUUCGUGGGGGAUAACGUAGGGAAACUUACGCUAAUACCGCAUACGACCUACGGGUGAAAGCAGGGGAUCUUCGGACCUUGCGCGAUUGAAUGAGCCGCUGUCGGAUUAGCUAGUUGGCGGGGUAAAGGCCCACCAAGGCGACGAUCCGUAGCUGGUCUGAGUGGAUGAUCAGCCACACUGGAACUUGGACACGGUCCAGACGCCUACGGGAGGCAGCAGUGGGGAAUAUUGGACAAUGGUCGCAAGCCUGAUCCAGCCAUACCGCGUGGGUGAAGAAGGCCUUCGGGUUGUAAAGCCCUUUUGUUGGGAAAGAAAAGCAGCAGGUUAAUACCCCGCUGUUCUGACGGUACCCAAAGAAUAAGCACCGGCUAACUUCGUG